GUGAGUGCUUUAGGCAGGUGUCUUUUUCAUCCUCAUACCCACAGUCCCAGCAGAGCACCUGGCACAUGAGGGUCACCCAGUAACACUCUAGUGUGAACGAGAAAUGAAUGGAUGAGUGACGAUGGCCUCUAGUCACUAUUUCUUCUUAGGUGGGAGGUAAAGAUGUUGAAAUUCCUGGGGCUGCCCUGUGGCCAAGUGGUUAAGUUCGCGCGCUGCUUUGGCGCCCAGGGUUUGCCAGUUUGGAUCCUGGGCGCAGACAUGGCACCGCUCAUCAGGCCCUGCUGAGGCAGCGUCCCACAUGCCACAACUAGAAGGACCCACAACUAAAAAUAUACAACUAUGUACCAGGGGGCUUUGGGGAGA
rnacentral:lncRNA from 1 species